rnacentral:rRNA from 1 species
UCUGGAAACCAUAGAGCUGUGGCACCACCUGAUCCCAUUCCGAACUCAGAAGUGAAACACAGUAUCGCCGAUGGUAGUGUGGGGUCUCCCCAUGCGAGA